rnacentral:tRNA from 1 species
GAAACAGUGUAGCUCAACAUGGGAGAGCACCGAGACUAAAUCUCUCGGGGUUGCGAGUUCAAAUCUCGUCCUGUUUCU